AUUGAACGCUGGCGGCAGGCCUAACACAUGCAAGUCGAACGCGUGGCGGACGGGUGAGUAAUGUCUGGGAAACUGCCCGAUGGAGGGGGUUAACUACUGGAAACGGUAGCUAAUACCGCAUACCAUCGGAUGUGCCCAGAUUGGAGUAGCUAGUAGGUGGGGUAACGGCUCACCUAGGCGACGAUCGCUAGCUGGUCUGAGAGGAUGACCAGCGACACUGGAACUGAGACACGGUCCAGAAUCCUAAGGGAGGCAGCAGGGGGGAAUAUUGCACAAUGGGCGCAAGCCUGAUACAGCCAUGCCGCGUGUAUGAAGAAGGCCUUCGGGUUGUAAAGUACUUUCAGCGAGGAGGCGUUACUCGAAGAAGAAGCACCGGCUAACUCCGUGCCAGCAGCCGGGGUAAUAC
rnacentral:rRNA from 1 species